UACGUAGGGUGCAAGCGUUGUCCGGAAUUAUUGGGCGUAAAGAGCUCGUAGGCGGUCUGUCGCGUCGAAUGUGAAAACCCGGGACUCAACUCCGGGCCUGCAUUCGAUACGGGCAGACUAGAGUUCGGUAGGGGAGACUGGAAUUCCUGGUGUAGCGGUGAAAUGCGCAGAUAUCAGGAGGAACACCGGUGGCGAAGGCGGAUCUCUGGGCCGAUACUGACGCUGAGGAGCGAAAGCGUGGGGAGCGAACAGG
rnacentral:rRNA from 1 species